rnacentral:rRNA from 1 species
UACGGAGGGUGCAAGCGUUAUCCGGAUUCACUGGGUUUAAAGGGUGCGUAGGUGGGUCUGUAAGUCGGAUGUGAAAACUCCAGGCUCAACUUGGAGACGCCAUUCGAUACUGCGAUGACUUGAGUCCGGUAGGGGAGUGUGGAAUUCCUGGUGUAGCGGUGAAAUGCGCAGAUAUCAGGAGGAACACCAGCGGCGAAGGCGGCACUCUGGGCUGGAACUGACGCUGAGGCACGAAAGCGUGGGGAUCAAACAGG